AUACGGAGGACGCGAGCGUUAUCCGGAUUCAUUGGGUUUAAAGGGUGCGCAGGCGGCCGUGCAAGUCAGCGGUGAAAGCCCGGGGCUCAACCCCGGAAGUGCCGUUGAUACUGCAUGGCUGGAAUGCGGUCGAGGCGGGCGGAACGUGGCGGGGAGCGGGGGAAUGCGUAGAUAUGCCACAGAACGCCGAGAGCGGAGGCAGCUCGCCAGGCCUGCAGUGACGCUCGGGCACGAAAGCGUGGGGAUCGAACAGGAUUAGAUACCCUGGUAGUCCACGCCGUAAACGAUGGGCGCUCGUCGUCGGCGGCAGACAGUCGGCGGCCAAGCGAAAGCGAUAAGCGCCCCACCUGGGGAGUACGGUCGCAAGGCCGAAACUCAAAUGAAUUGGCGGGG
rnacentral:rRNA from 1 species